rnacentral:rRNA from 1 species
AUUGAACGCUGGCGGCAUGCUUUACACAUGCAAGUCGAACGGUAACAGGGUGCUUGCACCGCUGACGAGUGGCGAACGGGUGAGUAAUGCGUCGGAACGUGCCGAGUAGUGGGGGAUAACGCAGCGAAAGUUGUGCUAAUACCGCAUACGUACUGAGGUAGAAAGUGGGGGACCUUCGGGCCUCACGCUAUUCGAGCGGCCGACGUCUGAUUAGCUAGUAGGUGAGGUAAAGGCUCACCUAGGCGACGAUCAGUAGCGGGUCUGAGAGGAUGAUCCGCCACACUGGGACUGAGACACGGCCCAGACUCCUACGGGAGGCAGCAGUGGGGAAUUUUGGACAAUGGGCGAAUGCCUGAUCCAGCCAUGCCGCGUGUCUGAAGAAGGCCUUCGGGUUGUAAAGGACUUUUGUCAGGGAGGAAAUCCCUAGUGCUAAUAACACUGGGGGAUGGCAGUACCUGAAGAAUAAGCACCGGCUAACUACGUGCCAGCAGCCGCCGUAA